rnacentral:rRNA from 1 species
GUAAGCUACGUACGAGCAUGCAGAGUUCAUAUCAGACGAAGAUAGGAUCAAGAAAUCAGAUACGUCGUAGUCUUUCUUAACUAUGCGACUAGGAUGGAGGGGCUCACCACCAUUCAGUACUAUGAGAAAUCAAAGUUUUGGUCUGGGGGGAGUAUGUCGCAAGACUGAAACUUAAAGAAAUUGACGAAGGGCACCACCAGGAGUGGAGCGUGCGGCUUAAUUUGACUCAACACGGGAACUUACCAGGUCCAGACAAAAGAAAGGAUUGACAGAUGAUAGCUCUUCUGAUUCUUGGGUGGUUGUGUUUUGUCCGUUCUAGUGGUGGAGUGAUUGUCUGGUUAAUUCCGAUAACGAACGAGACCUUAACUGCUAACUAGAUUCGAUCAUCUUAUGGUCGUUAUCUUCUUAGAGGGACUAUGUAACAUAAAUACAUAGAAAAUAUGAGGCAAUAACAGGUCAGUGAUGCCCUUAUAUGUCCUGGGCUGCACGCGUGCUACACUGAUGUAUACAACAAGUGCCUAGUCGGACAUGGCAUGGCAAUCUCGAAUAUGCAUCGUGAUGGGGAUAGAUCUUUGCAAUUAUAGAUCUUGAACGAGGAAUUCCUAGUAAGUGCAAGUCAUCAUCUUGCAUUGUUUUAUGUCCCUGCCCUUUGGGCAAGAGAACGUCGCUCCUACCGAUACCGGGUGAUCCGGUGAACCUUGGACCUGCAAGGGGAAGAUAAGUAAACCAUAUCACGAUGAAGGAGAGCGACAGAAUCGGACC